rnacentral:rRNA from 1 species
AAAGGAAUAGACGGGGGCCCGCACAAGCGGUGGAGCAUGUGGUUUAAUUCGAUGCAACGCGAAGAACCUUACCAGGUCUUGACAUCCAAAGAAUCUUGAUGAAAGUCAGGAGUGCCUUAGGGAGCUUUGAGACAGGUGGUGCAUGGUUGUCGUCAGCUCGUGUCGUGAGAUGUUGGGUUAAGUCCCGCAACGAGCGCAACCCUUGCUAUUAGUUGCUAACAGGUAAUGCUGAGCACUCUAAUGGGACUGCCGGUGACAAGCCGGAGGAAGGUGGGGAUGACGUCAAAUCAUCAUGCCCUUUAUGAUCUGGGCUACACACGUGCUACAAUGGAUGGUACAGAGAGCAGCGAGACCGCGAGGUGGAGCGAAUCUCAAAAAGCCAUUCUCAGUUCGGAUUGCAGGCUGCAACUCGCCUGCAUGAAGUCGGAAUCGCUAGUAAUCGCGAAUCAGCAUGUCGCGGUGAAUGCGUUCCCGGGCCUUGCACACACCGCCCGU